GUGCUCACUUUGGCAACUCAUAUAGUAAAACUGGAAUGAGACAGAGAAUAUUAGCAUGGCCUCUGUGCAAGGAUGACAUGAAAAUACAUGAAAUCUUCUAUUUUUUU